GCGUUUAUGGUACGCUGGACUUUGUAGGAUACCCUCGCUUUCCUGCUCCUGUUGAGUUUAUUGCUGCCGUCAUUGCUUAUUAUGUUCAUCCCGUCAACAUUCAAACGGCCUGUCUCAUCAUGGAAGGCGCUGAAUUUACGGAAAACAUUAUUAAUGGCGUCGAGCGUCCGGUUAAAGCCGCUGAAUUGUUCGCGUUUACCUUGCGUGUACGCGCAGGAAACACUGACGUUCUUACUGACGCAGAAGAAAACGUGCGUCAAAAAUUACGUGCAGAAGGAGUGAUGUAAUGUCUAAAGGUAAAAAACGUUCUGGCGCUCGCCCUGGUCGUCCGCAGCCGUUGCGAGGU
rnacentral:rRNA from 1 species